rnacentral:rRNA from 1 species
AAUGUGUGGCAUACGGCUCAGUAACACGUAGUCAACAUGCCCAGGGGACGUGGAUAACCUCGGGAAACUGAGGAUAAACCGCGAUAGGUCACUACUUCUGGAAUGGGUAAUGACCCAAACCUAUAUGGCCCCUGGAUUGGACUGCGGCCGAUCAGGCUGUUGGUGAGGUAAUGGCCCACCAAACCUGUAACCGGUACGGGCUCUGAGAGGAGGAGCCCGGAGAUGGGCACUGAGACAAGGGCCCAGGCCCUAUGGGGCGCAGCAGGCGCGAAACCUCUGCAAUAGGCGAAAGCUUGACAGGGUUACUCUGAGUGAUUUCCGUUAAGGAGAUCUUUUGGCACCUCUAAAAAUGGUGCAGAAUAAGGGGUGGGCAAGUCUGGUGUCAGCCGCCGCGGUAAUACCAGCACCCCGAGUGGUCGGGACGUUUAUUGGGCCUAAAGCAUCCGUAGCCGGUUCUACAAGUCUUCCGUUAAAUCCACCUGCUCAACAGAUGGGCUGCGGAAGAUACUAUGGAGCUAGGAGGCGGGAGAGGCAAGCGGUACUCGAUGGGUAGGGGUAAAAUCCGUUGAUCCAUUGAAGACCACCAGUGGCGAAGGCGGCUUGCCAGAACGCGCUCGACGGUGAGGGAUGAAAGCUGGGGGAGCAAACCGGAUUAGAUACCCGGGUAGUCCCAGCUGUAAACGA